GAUGAACGCUGGCGGCGUGCCUAAUACAUGCAAGUCGAGCGAACAGACGAGGAGCUUGCUCCUCUGACGUUAGCGGCGGACGGGUGAGUAACACGUGGAUAACCUACCUAUAAGACUGGGAUAACUUCGGGAAACCGGAGCUAAUACCGGAUAAUAUAUUGAACCGCAUGGUUCAAUAGUGAAAGACGGUUUUGCUGUCACUUAUAGAUGGAUCCGCGCCGCAUUAGCUAGUUGGUAAGGUAACGGCUUACCAAGGCAACGAUGCGUAGCCGACCUGAGAGGGUGAUCGGCCACACUGGAACUGAGACACGGUCCAGACUCCUACGGGAGGCAGCAGUAGGGAAUCUUCCGCAAUGGGCGAAAGCUUGACGGAGCAACGCCGCGUGAGGGAUGAAGGUCUUCGGAUCGUAAAACUCUGUUAUUAGGGAAGAACAAAUGUGUAAGUAACUAUGCACGUCUUGACGGUACCUAAUCAGAAAGCCACGGCUAACUACGUG
rnacentral:rRNA from 1 species